AGGGCAUACGGUGGAUGCCUAGGCGCCAGGAGCCGAAGAAGGACGCGGUAAGCUGCGAAAAGCCACGGGGAACUGCAAGCGAGUAUUGAUCCGUGGAUAUCCGAAUGGGGAAACCCGGCCAUCGUAAUGGAUGGUCAUCCGCAAGGAAGGGAACCCGGGGAACUGAAACAUCUAAGUACCCGGAGGAAAAGAAAUCAAACGAGAUGCCCACAGUAGCGGCGAGCGAAGAGGGCAGAGCCCAAACCUGUAAGCUACGGCUUAUGGGGGUUGAGGACUGACGUAAUUAAGGCCAGGCUUAGCUGAACUACCUGGGAAGGUAGGCGAUAGAAGGUAAGAGCCCUGUAAGCGAAAGGCAGAGCCUUAAGGUCAGUAUCCAGAGUACCACGGAGCACGAGGAAUUCUGUGGGAAGCAGGGGGGACCACCCUCCAAGGCUAAAGACUAACUGGCGACCGAUAGCGCAUAGUACCGUGAGGGAAAGGUGAAAAGAACCCCGGGAGGGGAGUGAAAGAGAACCUGAAACCCUGUGUUUACAAGCUGUGGAAGAGCUUUAUAUGCUCAACCGCGUACUUUUUGUAGAACGGUCCGGCGAGUUACGCUGGCUGGCGAGGUUAAGCACUGAAGGUGCGGAGCCGAAGGGAAACCAAGUCUGAAUAGGGCGAAAGUCAGUCGGAGUAGACCCGAAACCGGGUGAUCUAUCCAUGUCCAGGUUGAAGUUGCCGUAAAAGGCAAUGGAGGACCGAACCCACAUCCGUUGAAAAGGGUGGGGAUGAGGUGUGGAUAGCGGAGAAAUUCCAAUCGAACCCGGAGAUAGCUGGUUCUCCUCGAAAUAGCUUUAGGGCUAGCCUCAUACAAGUCUUGCGGAGGUAGAGCACUGAAUUCCUACGGGGGCGUCAAAGCUUACCAAGGGAUAUCAAACUCCGAAUGCCGUGUAGAUGAUGUAUGGGAGUCAGACUAUCCGAGAUAAGUUGGGUAGUCGAAAGGGAAAGAGCCCAGACCUGCAGCUAAGGCCCCAAAAUGUGUGUUAAGUGGAAAAGGAUGUGGGAUUUCGAAGACAACUAGGAUGUUGGCUCAGAAGCAGCCAUACAUUCAAAGAGUGCGUAAUAGCUCACUAGUCGAGAGGUCCUGCGCCGAAAAUGUCCGGGGCUGAAACACACUGCCGAAGCUCAGGAAUCUGCGAAUGCAGGUUGGUAGAGGAGCAUUCUUAAAGAGACGAAGCUGUACCGAAAGGAGCAGUGGAUUUUUAAGAAGAGAGAAUGCCGGAAUGAGUAGCGAGAAAGAGGUGAGAAUCCUCUUGGCCGAAUAUCUAAGGUUUCCAGGGUAAAGCUGAUCUGCCCUGGGUAAGUCGGGGCCUAAGGCGAGGUCGAAAGACGUAGUCGAUGGAUAACAGGUUGAAAUUCCUGUACUAUCCUGUAACAGAACUGUGGGGACGCAGACAGAGAGCACAAGCCGGGAAUGGAAAGACCGGUGCAAGCGAGGUAGGAGUACAUCAGGCAAAUCCGGUGUGCAAUCCGAAGACGUGAUGCGGAUCGAAAAGAAGUAGAGAAGUGUGUGAGCUGGCUGCCAAGAAAAGCCGCUAUUGUUUACAGGAUACCCGUACCGUAAACCGACACAGGUGGAUGAGGAGAGAAUCCUAAGGCCGACGGGAGAAGCAUUGUUAAGGAACUCGGCAAAAUGACUCCGUAACUUCGGGAGAAGGAGUGCCAUGCGAAUGGCCGCAGAGAAUUGGCCCAAGCAACUGUUUAGCAAAAACACAGGUCUAUGCGAAACCGUAAGGUGAUGUAUAUGGGCUGACGCCUGCCCGGUGCUGGAAGGUUAAGAGGAGAGGUUAGAGCAAUCGAAGCUUUGAAUUGAAGCCCCAGUAAACGGCGGCCGUAACUAUAACGGUCCUAAGGUAGCGAAAUUCCUUGUCAGGUAAGUUCUGACCCGCACGAAAGGCGUAACGAUUUGGGCGCUGUCUCAGCUGUAGACUCGGUGAAGUCUUAGUACCUGUGAAGAUGCAGGUUACCCGCGACUAGACGGAAAGACCCCAUGGAGCUUUACUGUAGCUUGAUAUUGGAUUUUGAUGCAUGAUGUACAGGAUAGGUAGGAGACGAAGAGACGGAUACGCCAGUAUUCGAGGAGUCGCCGUUGGGAUACUACCCUUCAUGUAUUGAAGUUCUAACCGGACGCCAUAAGCUGGCGACGGGACAGUGUCAGGUGGGCAGUUUGACUGGGGCGGUCGCCUCCCAAAGAGUAACGGAGGCGCCCAAAGAUACCCUCAGCAUGGUUGGAAAUCAUGCGUAGAGUGCAAAGGCAAAAGGGUGUUUGACUGCGAGACCAACAAGUCGAGCAGGGACGAAAGUCGGGCUUAGUGAUCCGGCGGUGCCGAAUGGAAGGGCCGUCGCUCAACGGAUAAAAGCUACCCUGGGGAUAACAGGCUGAUCUCCCCCAAGAGUUCACAUCGACGGGGAGGUUUGGCACCUCGAUGUCGGCUCAUCGCAUCCUGGAGCUGAAGUCGGUUCCAAGGGUUGGGCUGUUCGCCCAUUAAAGCGGUACGCGAGCUGGGUUCAGAACGUCGUGAGACAGUUCGGUCCCUAUCUGUCGUGGGCGUAGGAAGUUUGAGGAGAGCUGCCCUCAGUACGAGAGGACCGGGGUGGACAGACCAAUGGUGCACCAGUUGUCACGCCAGUGGCACAGCUGGGUAGCUAAGUCUGGAAGGGAUAAACGCUGAAGGCAUCUAAGUGUGAAGCCCCCUCCAAGAUGAGACUUCCCAUUCU
rnacentral:rRNA from 1 species